rnacentral:rRNA from 1 species
GUCUCCACCCGAGACUCAGUGAAAUUGAACUCGCUGUGAAGAUGCAGUGUACCCGCGGCAAGACGGAAAGACCCCGUGAACCUUUACUAUAGCUUGACACUGAACAUUGAGCCUUGAUGUGUAGGAUAGGUGGGAGGCUUUGAAGUGUGGACGCCAGUCUGCAUGGAGCCAACCUUGAAAUACCACCCUUUAACGUUUGAUGUUCUAACCUAGGCCCAUAAACUGGGUCGGGGACCGUGUCUGGUGGGUAGUUUGACUGGGGCGGUCUCCUCCUAAAGAGUAACGGAGGAGCACGAAGGUUGGCUAAGCAUGGUCGGACAUCAUGCGGUUAGUGCAAAGGCAUAAGCCAGCUUGACUGCGAGAGUGACGGCUCGAGCAGGUACGAAAGUAGGUCUUAGUGAUCCGGUGGUUCUGAAUGGAAGGGCCAUCGCUCAACGGAUAAAAGGUACUCCGGGGAUAACAGGCUGAUACCGCCCAAGAGUUCAUAUCGACGGCGGUGUUUGGCACCUCGAUGUCGGCUCAUCACAUCCUGGGGCUGAAGUAGGUCCCAAGGGUAUGGCUGUUCGCCAUUUAAAGUGGUACGCGAGCUGGGUUUAGAACGUCGUGAGACAGUUCGGUCCCUAUCUGCCGUGGGCGUUGGAAGAUUGAGAGGGGUUGCUCCUAGUACGAGAGGACCGGAGUGAACGCACCACUGGUGUUCGGGUUGUCAUGCCAAUGGCAUUGCCCGGUAGCUAAGUGCGGAAGAGAUAACCGCUGAAAGCAUCUAAGCGGGAAACUUGCCUCGAGAUG